ensembl:lncRNA LINC00299 long intergenic non-protein coding RNA 299
GGAGUUCUAGAGAGUCCACCCCACGGUUCAGCCAGACCUGCCCAGACGUCUCAAUCGGGAUUGAAAGUUUUGCCUGGGCUCCCAUGGGGCCUCCUGCUUCUGGAAAUGCAUUAUGAAGCUCUUGACUGAGAACGGGGAUGGUUUCUGCAGAUAAACACCUGAAAAGGAAAGCAAGUGACAGUGACAGGGACUGGGAACCUGGGAGCUUCUCAGCAUCUCCUUUUCACACUCUGCCUCUGAGCAGCUGGGAAUCCUUACCCCUCCAAUCUCCUGACUGCUCAUCUCCCUGGAGCCAGGACCCUGAAUCAGUAUUCACGGCCUGUUAGUGGCUUGCAAGGCAGAGCAGACAGAUGGACGUGCUCGGGAAGCCUAUUGAUCAGCCCUUGGUGUGACCUGCCCAGACCUGGUUCUGUUUCAAGCACUGAUCACGUGGACAAGGAGUCCUUAAUUCCUCUCAGCACCAUUUGAGAUGAGCAACUACACAAGACAAAGACGAAAGGCUUUUUCAGCUCAAAAAUCCUGUGAUUCUUUGAUUCUAAGAAGAGAUUUUCUUACAAGGAGUUUGCCUAAGGGACUUUGAAUUUGCUGUGUCUUCUGCUGAGAACAUUCCCUCUGAAGAUUCAGAACCCUUUAUACUACUCCAACACCAAAUAUUUAAUCUGUCAAUCUAAUCUUGGAUAUUUGAAAUCUUCUCCAUACAUAUCAUGAGAUAUUCUUCACCAGAAUAAGCUUUUGUUUCACUACCAAGAGGUUUGGCCUCCUCUCCAGCCUGUGACUACUGGGAAGACAGGGCACCUGUCCUAUUCACCUUUGUAUCUCUGGUGUCUCACUCAGGAUCCGGCACAGUGCUUGCCAAGGACCUGCUAUGCGCCAGGGGCUGCUGGAGCUGGGAACCUAAUGAUCACAGUGUCAGCCUCUGCCAGCCUUUGUGUGUGUGGCAGGGGUUGUUUUGAGUCCCACCAUCUUCCAUCCCUGAUGCUUGGAGAAGCUGAGGACACACAGGGGUGUACAGGGAGCAUGGUGCCAGCAUCUGCUUCUGAUGAGGCCUCAGGAAGCUUCCAAUCAUGGCAAAACGUGAAGUGGGAGCAGACACAUCACAUGGUUGAAUGGCGUCUCACCUGCUGACUAUACGAGUCUGAUGGGAAAAGCACGCUGCUUCCUCCAUUCCCAGCGGGAUCAAAUACACUGAGCGCAUCACCCAGCCUUGUAGCCUUCCGCAUCCUGGGGAGAGGGGUCCCAGCCAGCACUCGUGGUGAGAACAGAGCUCCCUCUCGGGACCCCGUUAUGCUGACCCUGGCUUCCACUUCUAGGAGAAAUAAAGCAUAGAAAGUCC